rnacentral:rRNA from 1 species
CGAACCACCUAACGAGGAACGAUCGGAGGGCAAGUCUGGUGCCAGCAGCCGCGGUAAUUCCAGCUCCAAUAGCGUACGUUAAAGUUGCUGCAGUUAAAAAGCUCGUAGUUGAACGUUCGGGUUCCGCGGGACGGGGCCGCCCCGCGAGGGACGGCGCCGCCCCGGGGCUCGUGAUAUCUCAUCUCGCCGCCCGUCGCGAGGCGGACGGAGGGAUGGAUGAGGUUACCUGGAAAAAAUCGGGGCGAUCUAGGCGGGCGAACCUCGCCAACGAACGAUCGGACAUGGGAUAACGGAAGAGGGCGUCGGCUCGACUUCGUCGGUUCCUCGGGCCGAGGCACGUACGGUGAAUAGGGACGGUCGGGGCCGCCCGUACCGGGUCGUGAGAGGUGAAAUUCUAGGAUCGACCCGAGACGAACCGCCGC